rnacentral:rRNA from 1 species
AUUACAGAGUUCAUGCCCGAAAGGGUAGACCUCCCACCCUUGUGUAUUAUUACUUUGUUGCUUUGGCGAGCUGCCUUCGGGCCUUGUAUGCUCGCCAGAGAAUACCAAAACUCUUUUUAUUAAUGUCGUCUGAGUACUAUAUAAUAGUUAAAACUUUCAACAACGGAUCUCUUGGUUCUGGCAUCGAUGAAGAACGCAGCGAAAUGCGAUAAGUAAUGUGAAUUGCAGAAUUCAGUGAAUCAUCGAAUCUUUGAACGCACAUUGCGCCCCUUGGUAUUCCGGGGGGCAUGCCUGUUCGAGCGUCAUUUCAACCCUCAAGCUUAGCUUGGUAUUGAGUCUAUGUCAGUAAUGGCAGGCUCUAAAAUCAGUGGCGGCGCCGCUGGGUCCUGAACGUAGUAAUAUCUCUCGUUACAGGUUCUCGGUGUGCUUCUGCCAAAACCCAAAUUUUUCUAUGGUUGACCUCGGAUCAGGUAGGGAUACCCGCUGAACUUAAGCAUAUCAAUAA